rnacentral:tRNA from 1 species
GGGUUUGGCUUGGUGGUAGAGUGAAUGCCUGACAUGCGUGAGACCCUGGGUUCCAACCCCAGCAUGCCA